GACGAACGCUGGCGGCGUGCUUAACACAUGCAAGUCGAACGAUGAAGCCGGAGCUUGCUCUGGUGAAUUAGUGGCGAACGGGUGAGUAACACGUGAGUAACCUGCCCUUGGCUCUGGGAUAACUGCUAGAAAUGGUAGCUAAUACCGGAUACGACCCUCGGAGGCAUCUCCAGGGGGUGGAAAGAACUUCGGUCAAGGAUGGACUCGCGGCCUAUCAGCUAGUUGGUGAGGUAACGGCUCACCAAGGCGACGACGGGUAGCCGGCCUGAGAGGGUGACCGGCCACACUGGGACUGAGACACGGCCCAGACUCCUACGGGAGGCAGCAGUGGGGAAGAUUGCACAAUGGGCGCAAGCCUGAUGCAGCAACGCCGCGUGAGGGAUGACGGCCUUCGGGUUGUAAACCUCUUUUAGUAGGGAAGAAGCGAAAGUGACGGUACCUGCAGAAAAGGCACCGGCUAACUACGUGCCAGCCGCCGCGGUAA
rnacentral:rRNA from 1 species